rnacentral:rRNA from 1 species
UACGUAGGUGGCGAGCGUUGUCCGGAUUUAUUGGGCGUAAAGCGCGCGCAGGUGGUGCGGUAAGUCUGCCGUGAAAUCUCCCGGCUCAACUGGGAGGGGGCGGUGGAGACUGCCGGACUAGAGGGACUCAGAGGCCGGUGGAAUUCCCGGUGUAGUGGUGAAAUGCGUAGAGAUCCGGAGGAACCCCAGAGGCGAAGGCGGCGCCCUGGCUCGCAACUGACGCUCAGACACGACAGCAUGGGGAGCGAACGGG